rnacentral:rRNA from 1 species
CACUCCUGCGGGAGGGCAGCAGUGGGGAAUUUUGGACAAUGGGCGAAAGCCUGAUCCAGCAAUGCCGCGUGAGUGAAGAAGGCCUUCGGGUUGUAAAGCUCUUUUGUCAGGGAAGAAACGGUGAAAGCUAAUAUCUUUUGCUAAUGACGGUACCUGAAGAAUAAGCACCGGCUAACUACGUGCCAGCAGCCGCGGUAAUACGUAGGGUGCAAGCGUUAAUCGGAAUUACUGGGCGUAAAGCGUGCGCAGGCGGUUUUGUAAGUCUGAUGUGAAAUCCCCGGGCUCAACCUGGGAAUUGCAUUGGAGACUGCAAGGCUAGAAUCUGGCAGAGGGGGGUAGAAUUCCACGUGUAGCAGUGAAAUGCGUAGAUAUGUGGAGGAACACCGAUGGCGAAGGCAGCCCCCUGGGUCAAGAUUGACGCUCAUGCACGAAAGCGUGGGGAGCAAACAGGAUUAGAAACCCGAGUAGUCCCAUGA